GAUGAAGAACGUAGCGAAAUGCGAUAAGUAGUGUGAAUUGCAGAAUUCAGUGAAUCAUCGAAUCUUUGAACGCACAUUGCGCCCCCUGGUAUUCCGGGGGGCAUGCCUGUUCGAGCGUCAUUUCACCACUCAAGCCUCGCUUGGUAUUGGGCAACGCGGUCCGCCGCGUGCCUCAAAUCGACCGGCUGGGUCUUCUGUCCCCUAAGCGUUGUGGAAACUAUUCGCUAAAGGGUGUUCGGGAGGCUACGCCGUAAAACAACCCCAUUUCUAAGGUUGACCUCGGAUCAGGUAGGGAUACCCGCUGAACUUAAGCAUAUCAAUAGCGGAGGA
rnacentral:misc_RNA from 1 species